rnacentral:rRNA from 1 species
AGAUUGAACGCUGGCGGCAUGCCUAACACAUGCAAGUCGAACGGGAGUAGCAAUACUCUAGUGGCGGACGGGUGAGGAAUACGUAGGAAUUUGCCCUUAAGUGGGGGAUAACCCGGGGAAACCCGGAUUAAUACCGCAUGACCUCGAAAGAGCAAAGUGGGGGAUCGCAAGACCUCACGCUUUUGGAGAAGCCUACGUCGGAUUAGCUAGUUGGUGAGGUAAUGGCUCACCAAGGCGACGA